GGUUGGAUGGCAGUCUGGGGAGUUGGUUGGCAGUCUGAGGUAGUCUGGAGUGAGGAUGGAGGCAGGUCCUAAUGAAAGAUGCACAGCUACAAGUGGGAAGGAGAAGGGUACCUGAAAUCAGACUCCAGGAGUUGGAUUUCUGCACAGCAGUUGUAGAGAUUGUGGAUUUUUUAGAUGACAGUGGAGAAACAAUUUAUUUUGGUGUCAGGGAUCAUCUAAAUUACCAUCCAUUUUGGCUGUUGCAUAUCACAAUAGAAAAAAAAAUCAUAAUGGCUGUGAAUCUCUGCAAUUGUUUGUGGAAGGCCAUGGGAUUAGAGCAUAUGUUUCCAGAGAUGCUGCUCUGUACUCCAAAAGAAUGUGUAUUUUAUUACUUGUGCAGAUGUUCCUCCUGCAGUGAAAAAGUUGUCUGAAUUCUGGUAUAAAUUUUGUUGCUUUUAUAUUGUCUCUGCAUUUUGCCUUUAUUUC